CCUACGGGUGGCUGCAGUGGGGAAUAUUGCACAAUGGGCGCAAGCCUGAUGCAGCCAUGCCGCGUGUGUGAAGAAGGCCUUCGGGUUGUAAAGCACUUUCAGCGGGGAGGAAGGCGGUGAGGUUAAUAACCUCAUCGAUUGACGUUACCCGCAGAAGAAGCACCGGCUAACUCCGUGCCAGCAGCCGCGGUAAUACGGAGGGUGCAAGCGUUAAUCGGAAUUACUGGGCAUAAAGCGCACGCAGGCGGUCUGUCAAGUCGGAUGUGAAAUCCCCGGGCUCAACCUGGGAACUGCAUUCGAAACUGGCAGGCUAGAGUCUUGUAGAGGGGGGUAGAAUUCCAGGUGUAGCGGUGAAAUGCGUAGAGAUCUGGAGGAAUACCGGUGGCGAAGGCGGCCCCCUGGACAAAGACUGACGCUCAGGUGCGAAAGCGUGGGGAGCAAACAGGAUUAGAUACCCCUGUAGUC
rnacentral:rRNA from 1 species